rnacentral:rRNA from 1 species
UAUCAAUAAGCGGAGGAAAAGAAACCAACAGGGAUUGCCUCAGUAGCGGCGAGUGAAGCGGCAAAAGCUCAAAUUUGAAAUCUGGCGUCUUUGGCGUCCGAGUUGUAAUUUGAAGAAGGUAUCUUUGGGCCCGGCUCUUGUCUAUGUUCCUUGGAACAGGACGUCACAGAGGGUGAGAAUCCCGUGCGAUGAGAUGACCCGGGUCUGUGUAAAGUUCCUUCGACGAGUCGAGUUGUUUGGGAAUGCAGCUCUAAGUGGGUGGUAAAUUCCAUCUAAAGCUAAAUAUUGGCGAGAGACCGAUAGCGAACAAGUACAGUGAUGGAAAGAUGAAAAGAACUUUGAAAAGAGAGUGAAAAAGUACGUGAAAUUGUUGAAAGGGAAGGGCUUGAGAUCAGACUUGGUAUUUUGCAUGCUGCUCUCUCGGGGGCGGCCGCUGCGGUUUACCGGGCCAGCAUCGGUUUGGAGCGGCAGGAUAAUGGCGGAGGAAUGUGGCACGGCUUCUGCUGUGUGUUAUAGCCUCUGACGAUACUGCCAGCCUAGACCGAGGACUGCGGUU